AUUGAACGCUGGCGGCAGGCCUAACACAUGCAAGUCGAACGAGUGGCGGACGGGUGAGUAAUGUCUGGGCAACUGCCUGAUGGAGGGGGAUAACUACUGGAAACCGUAGCUACUACCGCAUACCAUCAGAUGUGCCCAGGUGGGUUUAGCUAGUUGGUGGGGUAACGGCUCACCAAGGCGACGCUCCCUAGCUGGGCUGAGAGGAUGACCAGCCACACUGGAACUGAGACACGGUCCAGACUCCUACGGGAGGCAGCAGUGGGGAAUAUUGCACAAUGGGCGAAAGCCUGAUGCAGCAAUGCCGCGUGUGUGAAGAAGGCCUUCGGAUUGUAAAGCACUUUCAGUGGGGAGGCGUUACCCACAGAGAAAGCACCGGCUAACUCCGUGCCAGCAGCCGCGGUAAUUC
rnacentral:rRNA from 1 species